rnacentral:rRNA from 1 species
GUAGGUGGCAAGCGUUGUCCGGAAUUAUUGGGCGUAAAGCGCGCGCAGGGCGGUCCUUUAAGUCUGAUGUGAAAGCCCACGGCUCAACCGUGGAGGGUCAUUGGAAACUGGGGGACUUGAGUACAGAAGAGGAAAGCGGAAUUCCAAGUGUAGCGGUGAAAUGCGUAGAGAUUUGGAGGGACACCAGUGGCGAAGGCGGCUUUCUGGUCUGUAACUGACGCUGAGGCGCGAAAGCGUGGGGAGCAAACAGGAUUAGAUACCCUGGUAGUCCACGCCGUAAACGAUGAGUGCUAAGUGUUAGGGGGUUUCCGCCCCUUAGUGCUGCAGCUAACGCAUUAAGCACUCCGCCUGGGGAGUACGGCCGCAAGGCUG